rnacentral:rRNA from 1 species
CAGCCGCCACGGUAAUACGAAGGGGGCUAGCGUUGUUCGGAAUCACUGGGCGUAAAGCGCACGUAGGCGGAUUUUUAAGUCAGGGGUGAAAUCCCGAGGCUCAACCUCGGAACUGCCUUUGAUACUGGAGAUCUUGAGUUCGGAAGAGGUUGGUGGAACAGCUAGUGUAGAGGUGAAAUUCGUAGAUAUUAGCUAGAACACCAGUGGCGAAGGCGGCCAACUGGUCCGACACUGACGCUGAGGUGCGAAAGCGUGGGGAGCAAACAGGAUUAGAUACCCGUGUAGUCCCUGUCUCUUAUAC